rnacentral:rRNA from 1 species
UACGUAGGGUCCGAGCGUUGUCCGGAAUUACUGGGCGUAAAGAGCUCGUAGGCGGUUUGUCGCGUCGGAUGUGAAAACCCAGGGCUCAACCCUGGGCCUGCAUUCGAUACGGGCAGGCUAGAGUAUGGCAGGGGAGACUGGAAUUCCUGGUGUAGCGGUGAAAUGCGCAGAUAUCAGGAGGAACACCGGUGGCGAAGGCGGGUCUCUGGGCCAAAACUGACGCUGAGGAGCGAAAGCGUGGGGAGCGAACAGG